AGGCACUGAUGAGGGAAGGGUAUGGGACUUCUAAGGUGUUUCUUUUACAAGAAGACAACCAUCUGGACCAGACUGGAGGAGUCCCUGCUGCAUGCAGAUAGGAUGGAACCUCUGGGCUACUGUAUGGUCAGAAGUCCUAUCUCCCCACCAUUCCUGAGAGAUGGGGAUGCCCGGGGAGGAGUCCUGCAUCUCCACAGUCCAUCAAAAAUGAUUAAGAGCCCCCUUCCUAGAUGACAGAAUUUUUUCUAGUUGUCAUAAUUUUCCGUCUUUUUCUAGAGACCGCAGAUCAGACUGGCAUCAAGAUAACAGCUGGGAAGUGAUUGUGGGUUAAAUAUUCAUGGAUAACUCAUUCCAUUUUCCUUGGGAAUACACAGAAGACUCUUCCAGGCACUGGCUUAUGCAGCUGUAAAAGAGACAUGUGCUGCCUCUCUCCAGGUAUCCAGAAAAGGCCCUCAUUCCUAAGACAACAAUUCAAGGUCAAGAGAACAAAAAAGAAAUUGAAAAAGAUUAAAUCUCACAAGACGUCUAUGAAGAUGACUACAAAACUUUAUCGAAGAACGUAAAAGAAGACUUGAAUACCUCAUGCCUGGAUGGAAUAAAGAAUAUCAUAAAGAAGAGAAUCAUCCCCAAAGUAAUCUAUAUAUCCAACGCAA
rnacentral:lncRNA from 1 species